rnacentral:ncRNA from 2 species
AUAUGAUUUUCCACCUGAGGUUCCAUUUAUGGAUUAAAAGGGAAUCCGGUGAAAAUCCGGAGCUGCCCAGCAACCGUAACUGGGGACGAAAUCCGCAGAAAGGCCACUGGUACAAUCCGGGAAGGCGCGGAGAGUAGGAUGAUCCAGAAGCCGGGAGACCUGCCUUAGGUGUAUUCUUCCC